CCCCCCCACCCCGCCGCGUGUCCCGAUGGCGCGGUCGCCGGCUCACCGCUCCGGCCCGGCCCCUGCGCAUCAUCGUCUUCCGCUCCUACAUAGGCCUCCAAUCCUACCUGGUAGGGAAUUAAUGGACACUUCGCGCCCUCGCCCAGAUCUGCCGCGUUUGGCUGGCUCUGAUCGGUGGCUCCUAUGCAAUUGGUGAUCAGCUGCUGCAGUGUUUUGUUCUGAAAUUCUAAUCUCCCUGUCACCUCGAAAUGUCUGAUCCCCAGCCACCUCCAGGCAUGCAAGUUCUAAAAUUCUAAUCUCCCUAUCUGUAGUGCUUUGUUCUACGAUUGCCCUGUGGUGGCGUGCGUGGUUUGUGUUCUUAAUACAGAAGGAGGCAGGAUAGUUUGUUGCACCGAGGAUUGUUUAGAAAACAGAAAUUGUAAUCUUAUUCUUUUUACUGCUAUGUUUGUUACAUGGAGACGAUCAGGAUGUUGACAUGGAGCAGCAGCAGCCAAGCGACCAUUCUUCUGAUUUUGACCCCAAUAUUUCUGUUGCAUAGAGCAGCAGCCUUCUAUGGAUCCAUGUCUCAUGUCCUAUGUACUGAACUAUUGAUACACUACUGUUGUCUCUCUCCAAUUUAUGUAUUUACUGCUGCCAUAAUUUUUAUUUUUCACAAAGCCGCUAUCUGACAUAGCUGCGCUAUAGCUCCGCUGUAGCUGUUUAGCUGUUUGAAAAAUGUCGCUGUACUGCAUAGCCCGCUAUUUAAAAUCAUGAUGCUGCAUAAGUUAGGAAGUACUAGCCUUUUGGAGUUGUUCGUUAAUAGGUAUUUACAUGCUUUUCACUGGGAGACAGACUUUGUGCAAUUUUAGAAAUUUUAGAACCUAGGUAUUCAACAUCCAUCAUGCUCUUAUCCAUACAAGCAGUGCAAAUAAAAUGGACCUGACUCUCCCAUUCUUUCUUCUACAAAUCAGGAGUGCUUUUUUUUUCUAAGGCUGAUCAUGAAAUUGUUACUAACUCUGAAGGUAAUAUUCUGAAUUUGAUGCAGUCGGAUGCCCGAUCGAUCUUUGUUCAUAGCAACCAGUUUUAAGCUCUGCCAUUUUGUGUGAAUGAUGUUGUAUUUGACAAGGUGGACAAGGGCUGCUGAUCCAACUAUGAAGCCUUAACAAUAAAGGGACUUACUAUAGCUAAAAUGACAUAUGUGGAGAAGGGAGUAAGGUUUAUUGCUGAAAAGAACCAGGUUGGACAUUAUUACUCUACCAAGGUUCGUGCCUCAUUGGAUCUUCUAAGCUGCACUACUGCAAUAAACUUAUUGUCUUGUUUGAUUCCCAAAAUUUGAAAAUUGGUUGAGCUUCAGCUAUGCAAUUGUGCAUCCUUAAAACUGAAAAAUGCUUCAGCUUCAUUAAUUGCUCGGUAGUCUCCCAAAAUUAUAUCAUAUGCUAUAACUUCUCUGUUCGACGCACAAGGCAAUAUCAUUAUAGAACCUAGGGAGGUUUGCAGCCCGUCUGCAUGCCCAAAGUAUACUAACCAUAAUCUGCAUAACAAAUCAACUAGAGUGGCCAAUGGUGAGAUGGGCAUCUUCCUCCAUGGGACUCCAUGUCAUUGUAAUAUUUCCGUAAUGUUUCUUCUCCGAGUCCUUUUAUAUGAAUACUUCCUAUAUACAACACAAUUGUAUUUAUUUCUCUAAGUUAAUUGAAAGGCUCCUUGAUUCUAAACAAAUCAUUUUCCUAUGGUUGAUCAAUGCUUUUGAUGCCACUACAACAAUAUGACUAUCAACACGAAUGCUUUUGUUGUGAAUUCUUUUUUGUGUUUCCCUAAGAGUGACAUUGUGUACCAAGAUGUCUUGGAGUUUUCAAACAGGUAUUCCGCAUUCAGAAUAGGGAGAACACAGUUCAUCUCCUUAUAAUUGAACUAAGACUAAUGUUUUUGCUUCUCUUAUUUUGUAUUUAAUUAAUCUGCAGCCAGCUAUUGGAGUAAGAGAGAGUACAUGCACAUUAUAUUCAACAAAAGGAGAUCAGAGAGUACAUGCACAUUAUAUUCAACAAUACGUAUUCCAACAGAAAAAAUGAAUAUGGAUAAAGGUAAAUAUUUAAAGCCUGAUGAAAUAUCACCCCCACUGCUUCAAGUAAUUUAGCUUGCUUAAUUUUUUAGGGAAGAGUUCAUUGAUUUGAUUCGGCAAUAACUGCUUAUUGAGAAAAAUCUGACUUGGAUAAGGACCCCUCUGCUCUGUCUGAAUCCUGUUUUGACUGUUCAUAUAUUAUCACUGUUGGCUUCAGACUUUCAGUUGCCAAAAAAUCACAUCAUUCGAGGCUAACUGGCAUAUAGAGAAUUAGCAAUUUUGUGCUUGCGGUCAUUCAGUACCUGAGUAAGGACCUAAUAGCUAUCUUAAAUGUGUGCAGUCCCUUUAUUUUUCUGUCUUAGCUUGCUAGCUGCUUCUAAAUUCUGAGAGUUGAAUGCAUCUAUGAAUUGGCAAUGCAUAGUGAACUCCUUCAUGUUCAUCUGGAAAGAGGGAACGAAAAAACUUGUAGCUAUUUCUUUUUGGAGAUACGUGUUAGCUUUCUAUAGUUCUGUCAAAACUCCCAUUAGCUGACCAGGAUAGUUGCUUUUUUUAUCCUGAAAAUCAAUCCAUACAAAAUGUUUCUGAAACUCAUGUCAUUAAGUUCUACAUUUUCUGAGUUUAGAGUUGGUGUAAAAUAAGGGAUGACGUGGUGUUUGUAUCAUAAUUGUUUAUGAUACCGACAUAAAUUGUUAGGAGGUUUGGAUUUCUAAUAUCUGAAAAUAUCUUUGUACCAAGAUGUGUUAUUGGUAAUGGUGACUUGGGAAUUCCAAAUGCUUCCCGUUGUUUCCCAUCCCGAGUCAAGUAAGGAAGACUACUUAUUUUUAAAAUAUGGUCUUACGGAGUACAUUGGUAGUUUCAGCAGAGCGUAAUUCAGGCCUUGGGUUCAUGUUAUGCAACUUUUUCUUGGAAAUUCCGCUGUAAACCUUAAUCUUGUAUCCUUAUUGGUUCAGAUUUGAUGAUUUUGGAUAUUGUCUAUGUUCAAAUGAGAUUGAUUUGACUUCGGUGUAUAAUGGUGCAUUUUUUUAAAUGGUCA